AGCUCGAAGCAGAGCUCUCUCUCAAAUUCCCUAAGCUCCGAAAGGAAAACAGAGUGAAAUCGCGUUUUACUUCUACAAUUCUAUCUGUCAAAACCCCCAAGCUCUGAAUGGAAAAUAGAUCGAAAUCGCGUUUAACUUCUGCAAUUCGAUCCUUUACAAUGCCUAAAAAUGUCAAUUCUGUCCUCCACACCAGCAAUCUCUUCGCCGAUUUGAGGUUGGUUACACCUACAACUCACACUUCCUAAUGCUAGGGAAUUCAACAUGUCCAGGUAAUAUUGGAGAGGGUAGAGCAUUUUGCUCAGUCAGUUUUUGUAUACGAAGAUCAAAUAUUUCAAAAAAGAGCUCAUAUUCAGCAGUUAGUGCUAGGUGUCAUAGAGUUCAUGAUAGCAGAACUGCUUUACUUGCAAUGGAUGGAUCCAAACCAGCCAAUUUAUCUUUACAUCAAUUCAACUGGAACGACUCGUGAUGAUGGUGAAACGCUUUUCACAAGCAGCAGUUGCAAAUCAAGCUGGUGCUUCAGUUAUCCAGAUUUUUGUUGGUUAUUCCAGUGGAAUUGUAUAAUAUCUCCUUGAAUUUGUUUCUUAUGGGUUUUUCUUUCACGUUGUAGAGAAAGAUUCAGAUUCGGGUUCUGACUUGUAUUCAAAUGGAUCAGAUAUCCUAGAGCAAUUGAUAAGGAAAAGGCAAGAGAACUAAAGGAUACAGAGGUAGAAUUGCAGCUCAAUAGUAAAGACAAAUCAAAUGAGUUUAGAUUGCCUACGGAAGAGGCACUUCUCCAUUAAUUCUACUUCGAAGUUCUCCUGGUUCAUUUUGAAUUUGGAAACUUGAGGCUCUUAUGAUUUUCCUUUAGGAGCUUCAAGAAGAGGCACAGUGACCACCAGAUCUUCCAAAAUCUUCAGCGCAGAAUAAAAGAGUGUGCUAUCUCUCUGUCAAUCUUCUGCAUUUUCUCCUCUCUCUCUUUAAUUAUAAUUUUUGGAUUGAUACCCUUUACUAAUUAUAUCAUUUUCAGCAUUGCUAUGAUAUAAUUUUAUUUUAUUUUUUCUUAAAUUCAGA